rnacentral:rRNA from 1 species
UUUAAAUGGCCGCAGUAUACUAACUGUGCAAAGGUAGCAUAAUCAUUAGUCUUUUAAUUGAAGGCUGGUAUGAAUGGUUGGACGAAAUAUUAACUGUUUCAUAGGAAUUUAUAUUAGAAUUUUAUUUUUUAGUUAAAAAGCUAAAAUUUAUUUAAAAGACGAGAAGACCCUAUAAAUCUUUAUAUUUAAUUUAUUAUAAUUAAAUAGAUUAUUUUUAUUAUAAUAAUAAAUAAUAUUUUAUUGGGGUGAUAUUAAAAUUUAAUAAACUUUUAAUUGUUUAAAUCAUUAAUUUAUGAUUUAUUGAUCCGUUAUUAACGAUUAAAAAAAUAAGUUACUUUAGGGAUAACAGCGUAAUUUUUUUGGAGAGUUCAUAUUGAUAAAAAAGAUUGCGACCUCGAUGUUGGAUUAAGAUAUAAUUUUAGGUGUAGUCGCUUAAAUUUUAAGUCUGUUCGACUUUUAA